UUAGAAAACAUACACACACACUCACCAAGGAAGUAUUUGCAAUUUCAAGUGCAUCUUCCUAAUGGACAAGCGCACCGGCCUUGCUCAUGCAGCAACGCUGCUCUCGCUGUUGCUUCUUAUGUGCUUUGCUAUCCAUGUCCAUUGCCGAAUCAUGGAAGACAAAGUCAGCGAGAAGAUUAAUUUACCACACGGAUUAUGCGUGCAUAGGGGCUAUAAUUGCGGGGCUCUACUCCAUUGCAACUGUUGUUUCUUAAGCAACAUCUGCUAUCCUUCAGUGGAUUUAUGCACGGAAGCGUGCAAAUAAAAUACAUACUCUUCUUCAGCCACGUUGGCACGCCGGCCCAUCCUCCUUUGCCUUCCCAUACACUUUGAUCAGCUUUUAUGUAGUUCCAAGUGAUCACGCUAAUGCGCCAGCUGAUGCGCAGUUUGGAAAUAAAGAACACUGUUAUUAUU